AUUGAACGCUGGCGGCAGGCCUAACACAUGCAAGUCGAGCGGUAGCACAGGAGAGCUUGCUCUCUGGGUGACGAGCGGCGGACGGGUGAGUAAUGUCUGGGAAACUGCCUGAUGGAGGGGGAUAACUACUGGAAACGGUAGCUAAUACCGCAUAACGUCUUCGGACCAAAGUGGGGGACCUUCGGGCCUCACGCCAUCAGAUGUGCCCAGAUGGGAUUAGCUAGUAGGUGGGGUAAUGGCUCACCUAGGCGACGAUCCCUAGCUGGUCUGAGAGGAUGACCAGCCACACUGGAACUGAGACACGGUCCAG
rnacentral:rRNA from 1 species